GCAAAACGACACCUAAUACCAAUUUAUGAGGAACUAUGGCGGUUGCAUACCGUAAGGAACAAGCGUCAGGAAGUCCGAGAGUCUGAGACGGAGACGGCGAGAGGUCAGUUUGGACACGGUGACAGAUUGGCCAGAGCACAAAGGGGACGAUGGGGAGGAACGGUCAGCAGAGACCCCCGGCAGACGAAGGUGACGGACACACGGAGGCGCGGGCCGGGAAGGGAGCGCUCGAAGAGAGGCGGGAUUAAAGGUGCAGAGCGAA